rnacentral:lncRNA from 1 species
CCUAACCACAAUCCAGUCUGCUCUUCUUAGAUAAACAUCGAUCAGACCAUAAAGGUUGGGGACCACACGGUCCUUUAGUUCCUGCCUUUUCCUCCCAGGAAUAAAAAAAAAGAAUUUUUGGCAUCCCGGUGUGAAGAGGAAGACUCCAUGGGACAAGACAAAGAAGUUCUCAUAAGCAGGAAAUGUUUGAUUCCCGGAGUCAUUAGCAGAACUCUGGUCAGAGGCAUCAGCAUCUUUAAGCAGAACUGAAGAUUCAGUUGUAAAGGGCUAGUGCAGGAAUGCUACAUCAGGUAUUCAGGCACAGAAGACCAUCUCACUUCCAAGUCUCUAGCAGCCUCCUCUCAAACUGCAUGUUACUUAUGAAGCACAAAUCUUCUUUAGAGAUGAUGCUGUUCUUUCUGGUUCAAGGCUAAUGUGACAAUGGCUAGAUGAUUUGCAUAAACUACUUUGAGCUCCCUGGGAAAGUGGAAAAAGCACUAUGUAAAAACAUAC